rnacentral:lncRNA from 1 species
GCUCAGAAAUGGAAGGUAAAGAUGAAAUAAAAGUAUUAGUACAUCGCCUUUUUAGUAUUUAGAAUAUUUUAGCAAAAUUAGGUAACCAUAAUGGUUAAAGUAUGAAAUAGUACAUAGAAGAACUAUAUUCUCUAGAAUGAAAAGGGAAGGAAGAAAAUAUGUAGAGAAAAUGUUCAGCUGCCCCAAACCACUCCUAGCUUUAUAUACUUAACAGUCUUGUUGUCUGGAGAUAAUGACAGUGUGAAACAGUAUAGGGGUCAGAUCACAAGUCAAGCAAACCUAUGGCUUCCAAGGAUAAAUUGUUGGACAGCUGUGAAGAUUUGUCUGUUGUCAGUAUCAGACAGAGAAGUAUCACCAUAAAGUAAGGUGUUAACCGUGAUAGACUGGGUGAAAUUACCAACAGAAAUUAACAUUACAUGCCGAGGAAGGUAAUACAGUCUACAUGCAAGCAAAAAAUGUGAGCUGGUCUCGGGUUGUCCGCAAUGACAAAGCGGAGAGUUAACAAUAUUACGUAAGAACAAAUGAUAAUUAAGACCACUGCAUUUCAUACGAAGUCUAGCAUGAAGAAUUUGUGCUUUUCUACUUCCACAGUAAUAAUAAGAGGGAGUUUGACGCUGGUCGGCCUUAAGACGCCUCUUUAACACACUAAGCGACUGUGCAUUUUUGAUGUCAUCCGAAAGAUCGUUCCAUUCGCGCACAGUCAAAGGAAGAAAGGAAUUGAAGUAUUGUGAAGUGCGAGAAACCACCGAGCGGAGAUCACCGAAAUUGCGAAGGCUGUAGUUGGAAACUGAAUUAACGACUGGCGGGACGAGACUGGUCAGAUACGAAGGAGAAGUGCCUCUGCACAUUUGAAAAAACAUGAUAAUUCUGUGAUCGCGCCUUCUAUCUUCAAGCGUCCUCCAAUUCACCUCUAGUCUUAAGUCAUGCAGUGAUACUAGCUUGGUGGCUCCAGUUACGAUUCUGGCACACUCGUUUUCAAUUUUGUCAAGUUGUUCCUUUUCAUAUGCUGUGCAGUUGUUCCAGAUUACAUCUGCAUAUUCCAAAAUCGGUCGUAUAAAGGAAAGGUAUAUCGUUUCAAGAGAUCUUCGAUCUAAGACAAUUUUCAGCUUGCGCAUAACAUGAACCCUUUUCCAAGCCUUGCUUGUUAUGUAGUUGAUAUGAUGAUGCCAUUUACAAUCGUUAGUAGUAAAGUAAUUGUUUGUGCGAAGUCAAUCUAACCUCAUUUGACCUUUUAACCCUUGGUCCGAACCGACCAAGCCGGCCAAUUUAAAAUCCACAGGUUUUGACAACUCAUUGUGAAAACCUUCGGUUUGAUGAACGUAAGUCCCUGGGAGCUUUUAACUUCCAUAAAGUACUGAGAAAAUACAUAUUUAACUUUCAAAAUAUCUUAAAAAAGCCUUAAUAAAAACUUUACACCCGGACCGAAAAACAAUUUACAAAAUAGUUUUAGCCUCCGGUAAACAGAUAUUGGGUUUCCAUUAUAGUAUUUCGCAAUAUUGCAUCAGCCGGUUACGACUAGUUUUAUCAAUACACAUAACAUUCUUUACUGUUUUAAGUAUUAUAACGAAAAAAGUGGAAUUUAAACAACUGAAAUGUAUUCAAGAAUUCUACAAAGAUAUUAUUAGCCAGACGAAUUACAACGUGAAAAAUCCAAGACUUUAUAAAGACAACGAACGUUUAACACAAAAUAUAUCAUCGGAAGACUUCAA